rnacentral:rRNA from 1 species
GACGAACGCUGGCGGCGUGCUUAACACAUGCAAGUCGAACGGUGAAGCGAGUGCUUGCACUCGUGGAUCAGUGGCGAACGGGUGAGUAACACGUGAGUAACCUGCCCAUCACUCUGGGAUAAGCACUGGAAACGGUGUCUAAUACUGGAUACGACCAACCCUUGCAUGGGGUGUUGGUGGAAAGAUUUAUCGGUGAUGGAUGGACUCGCGGCCUAUCAGCUUGUUGGCGGGGUAAUGGCCCACCAAGGCGACGACGGGUAGCCGGCCUGAGAGGGUGACCGGCCACACUGGGACUGAGAGACGGACCAGACUCCUACGGGAGGCAGAAGUGGGGAAUAUUGCACAAUGGGCGAAAGCCUGAUGCAGCGACGCCGCGUGAGGGAUGACGGGCUUCGGGUUGUAAACCUAUUUCAGCAGGGAAGAAGCGAAAGUGACGGUACCUGCAGAAGAAGCACCGGCUAACUACGUG